UGCAUAUCAAUAAGCGGAGGAAAAGAAACUAACAAGGAUUCCCCUAGUAGCGGCGAGCGAAGCGGGAAGAGCUCAAAUUUAUAAUCUGGCACCUUCGGUGUCCGAGUUGUAAUCUCUAGAAGUGUUUUCCGCGUUGGACCGCACACAAGUCUGUUGGAAUACAGCGGCACAGUGGUGAUACCCCCGUACACGGUGCGGACGCCCAGCGCUUUGUGAUACACUUUCAAUGAGUCGAGUUGUUUGGGAAUGCAGCUCAAAUUGGGUGGUAAAUUCCAUCUAAAGCUAAAUAUUGGCGAGAGACCGAUAGCGAACAAGUACCGUGAGGGAAAGAUGAAAAGCACUUUGGAAAGAGAGUUAACAGUACGUGAAAUUGUUGGAAGGGAAACGCUUGAAGUCAAACUUGCUUGCCGGAGCUUGCUUCGGUUUGCAGGCCAGCAUCAGUUUUCUGGGGUGGAUAAUGGCGGUUUGAAGGUAGCAGUCUCGUGCUGUGUUAUAGCUUUCCGCUGGAUACAUCCUGGGGGACUGAGGAACGCAGCGUGCUUUUAGCGAAGGUUUCGACCUUU
rnacentral:rRNA from 1 species